GGUCUAACAAUGGGUCUUUGGGAGAAGAAGGAAGUAACUUCCAUCUGUGGGGGAGAGAGGAGGCUCCUUGUCUUUCAUAACGCAAAGUUGGGGCAGGACCAAUUGGAACAGGAGUAAUUAUGGGCCUAGGUCUCCCAGUGACCCAUCCUUCCCUUUCCUCAAAGGGUUUGGAGCCAGAGGCUGCAGAAGAUGGUCAGACCUUAGGAUGAUUGGUCCUUGGCGUUGCUCUUCUGGAAGACUUCCCUGAAGAGUCCAGGAACCCUUCCCCUCACCCCUACUCUAACUAGCCCCUUCCUCCGUCCGGGUCCCGCCUCCAUUUAGCCUGGCCCCUCCCACCUUGGUCUCACCCCCUUCCAGCCACGCCCGUAUCUUUAGUCUCGAGUUCCUUUUGGGCUCAUUCACCUUCUGGAACUUCUUUCCCUUCCAUUUGGCCCUGCCUCCUUGUUCUAGCCCUGCCCUAGCUCCGCCUUGCCCCGCCCCUAACUUUGGUCCGCUGCUCAAUCUGGCAACGCCCUGGCUCCUGACAGCCUCUUUCCUGCCCCUUCUCUAGGGUUACGAUAGACCCUUUACCCAUCUCCCAGUUCUUGAGUCUCCGUUGUGGCUCUCUGAUCUGUGGGAGGACCGGCGGCCCAUCCCAGGGGUCCUGGUGUCCGGCCUUAUCCGUCACUGGAUCUCAUACCUUCAGUACGUAUUCCUUGUUAACGCUGUCGUAGAAUAUCUUGGCGGACUCCUUGAUGGGGAUGUUGGGUUUGGGGUCCCCCUGCACCUGGGCUUGGAACACGGCUUUAUCUCUUGCAGAGGGCACAGGAUCCAUUUUUGCCUCUUAGUCUCCAAGCUGCAUCUUUUGCCUGCUCCCAUCCCCGGGCAGGGGAGGAACCUUUGGUCGGGAUCCGCCAGUGAUUGUGUGCUGGGGGGACAAUGAUGGUGGUGGUGGUGGGGUGUGGCAGCGGCUGGGGCAUUGAGGAAGAAAAGGAAGCACCCAGGGGCUUGGGGAGACAUGGGGAGCGACGCACCCUCGGGCGCAGUGACCAGGUGAGGCUUCUCCACGAAAUCCGGGAUGCUUUCACCCGCAAGGAUGUUGGAACUCCGGGUCACCAAGCUGAAGAACUCUGAAGAGCUCGAGGACCUCCUCGUCAUGACUUCCUCAGUGGCGGCAGGCGAAGGACUUGGGGAGCAAAGCAACGGAUCUGUGUUUUCCAAGGACUGGGAGCAGUAUAUCUUCAUGCCCAGACCCUCGAACAGCCCACUCAAGGAUCUGCUACCUUGUAAGGACUUGCUGGUUGGUGAGCAUCCCUGCCCAGGAGUGACCCACACCUGUCAGCAAAGGCAGGAGAGCUACUUUUGCUGCAUCCCUGGGGGCUGGGGUAAGAAUAGAGCAGGAGUGUCUGGGAGGCUCAGGAUCUUUGCCUAGGGGCAGAUUCCCGGGCUCCUUGGGUGGGGCUACUUUCAGCCCAGGACUUAACAAGGGAAAUUGCUGGGCUGCAGCAGCUGUUGGGACCCACAAGGCUAACAGAGGAUAACUGCGCUGGCCAACAGGGAGGGGCCUGGGUGUGAUCUGAAUGUCUCCUUGCCCCAGCCUUGGCCUCUUUGGCCCAUUUGUCAGAGAGGUGGCCUGCCAGUCACUUUUCCUUCUCUAGAAGCCACCAACACCUGUCCUUGAAGCUUCCCAUGGCCCCUGACUCCUGGCUGGGUGGGAGGGUGAGAGUGUGUGAGAAUCCCAUCCAAUGGACUUUGGCUGUUCAAAAUCUGGAUUCACUUCAUACUCCUAAUCUCCACAAGGGGGCGCCAGGGAUCUGGGGUGGGGGGUGCGGCACUCAUGUGUGAACCUGUUCUAGGAGGAG